UAAUACGAAGGUCCCAAGCGUUGUUCGGAAUUACUGGGCGUAAAGCGUGCGUAGGCGGCAUGGUAAGUCAGAUGUGAAAGCCCGGGGCUCAACCCCGGAACUGCAUCCGAUACUGCCAAGCUAGAGUAGUGGAGGGGAGUCUGGAAUUCACGGUGUAGCAGUGAAAUGCGUAGAGAUCGUGAGGAACACUAGUGGCGAAGGCGAGACUCUGGACACUAACUGACGCUGAGGCACGAAGGCUAGGGUAGCGAAAGGGAUUAGAUACCCCUGUAGUCCUAGCAGUAAACGGUGCGCGUUUGGUGUGGGCAGGUUCGACCCUGUCCGUGCCGGAGCUAACGCGUUAGACGCGCCGCCUGGGGAGUACGGCCGCAAGGCUA
rnacentral:rRNA from 1 species